GCUUACCAUGCAGUCGAACGAUGAAGCCCUUCGGGGUGGAUUAGUGGCGAACGGGUGAGUAACACGUGGGCAAUCUGCCCUUCACUCUGGGACAAGCCCUGGAAACGGGGUCUAAUACCGGAUAACACUCUGUCCCUCAUGGGGCGGGGUUAAAAGCUCCGGCGGUGAAGGAUGAGCCCGCGGCCUAUCAGCUUGUUGGUGGGGUAAUGGCCUACCAAGGCGACGACGGGUAGCCGGCCUGAGAGGGCGACCGGCCACACUGGGACUGAGACACGGCCCAGACUCCUACGGGAGGCAGCAGUGGGGAAUAUUGCACAAUGGGCGAAAGCCUGAUGCAGCGACGCCGCGUGAGGGAUGACGGCCUUCGGGUUGUAAACCUCUUUCAGCAGGGAAGAAGCGAAAGUGACGGUACCUGCAGAAGAAGCGCCGGCUAACUACGUGCCAGCAGCCGCGGUAAUACGUAGGGCGCAAGCGUUGUCCGGAAUUAUUGGGCGUAAAGAGCUCGUAGGCGGCUUGUCACGUCGGAUGUGAAAGCUCGGGGCUUAACCCCGAGUCUGCAUUCGAUACGGGCUAGCUAGAGUGUGGUAGGGGAGAUCGGAAUUCCUGGUGUAGCGGUGAAAUGCGCAGAUAUCAGGAGGAACACCGGUGGCGAAGGCGGAUCUCUGGGCCAUUACUGACGCUGAGGAGCGAAAGCGUGGGGAGCGAACAGGAUUAGAUACCCUGGUAGUCCACG
rnacentral:rRNA from 1 species